AUUGAACGCUGGCGGCAUGCUUUACACAUGCAAGUCGAACGGCAGCACGGGAGCAAUCCUGGUGGCGAGUGGCGAACGGGUGAGUAAUACAUCGGAACGUGCCCAAUCGUGGGGGAUAACGCAGCGAAAGCUGUGCUAAUACCGCAUACGAUCUACGGAUGAAAGCAGGGGACCGCAAGGCCUUGCGCGAGUGGAGCGGCCGAUGGCAGAUUAGGUAGUUGGUGAGGUAAAGGCUCACCAAGCCUUCGAUCUGUAGCUGGUCUGAGAGGACGACCAGCCACACUGGGACUGAGACACGGCCCAGACUCCUACGGGAGGCAGCAGUGGGGAAUUUUGGACAAUGGGCGAAAGCCUGAUCCAGCAAUGCCGCGUGCAGGAUGAAGGCCUUCGGGUUGUAAACUGCUUUUGUACGGAACGAAACGGUCCUUUCUAAUACAGAGGGCUAAUGACGGUACCGUAAGAAUAAGCACCGGCUAACUACGUG
rnacentral:rRNA from 1 species